rnacentral:rRNA from 1 species
CUGGGCGGGCUGCCUUACCAUGCAAGUCGAACGGCAGCGCGGGGCAACCUGGCGGCGAGUGGCGAACGGGUGAGUAAUAUAUCGGAACGUACCCUGGAGUGGGGGAUAACGUAGCGAAAGUUACGCUAAUACCGCAUACGAUCUAAGGAUGAAAGUGGGGGCUCGCAAGACCUCAUGCUCCUGGAGCGGCCGAUAUCUGAUUAGCUAGUUGGUGGGGUAAAGGCCUACCAAGGCACCGAUCAGUAGCUGGUCUGAGAGGACGACCAGCCACACUGGAACUGAGACACGGUCCAGACUCCUACGGGAGGCAGCAGUGGGGAAUUUUGGACAAUGGGCGCAAGCCUGAUCCAGCAAUGCCGCGUGAGUGAAGAAGGCCUUCGGGUUGUAAAGCUCUUUUGUCAGGGAAGAAACGGUGGAGGC